CUCAAGAAAACAUGAUAUGUGGUCCAUAUUUGCAUGAGGUAGUCUUCUUUAAAUAAAAUCAUUUUUACUUACCAAUAUAUAUAUUGAUACACAUCUAGAGCUAUAAGGGAUAGAUGGUUUUAUUUAGUACUGUGUAGUUGUUGCAAGGAUAAUAGAAGGCUGCCUAUUUUGUGGCAGUCUUUAAGCGUGGCUUGAAAUUUUCUUUUACAUUUUCUUUCCCUUGGUGAAAUGUUAGGCGUUCCUUUACAAUGCACAUAUGUUUGGUUUGACAAGAAUGCCUUGCACAUAUUUUUUAAGGAAUUUUUUAUUUAUUAAUGGUGUUACUUAUUGCCUUUAUUUUUAGUCUAUGCAUCUUCAUUUCUAAAGAAAGAAACAUGUUAGAUUGGUUGAUCUUAAUAAAAUAAAGACUACAACACUCAAGUUUGUAAGUGCAUUGAUAAAAUUUUUAUAAAUAUUAUACUGUUAUUUUGCAAGUUAACCACUCAUUUAUUGUGAUAAGGAAUUGGGAUGGUGUGUUAUGGACUGCAAUAUCUGGUAUUAAGGAUGGUACUAGUAGAGAUGAAGAGGAUAGCUCAAACAAUAACAUGGAGGUCGAAAGCAACUUGGAGGGUGAUCUAGAGGAAAACUAAUAUAAAUCUUUUCAUAAUUCUAGUUGUUUAAAACAAUAUUUUUAUGUCAUGGUUUAAUUUCAGGAUUUCUUUGUAUAUUCUAUAUUUUAAAGUUUGAACUUAUAAGAAUUUUUAUGUUUCAAUGGAUCAAUUUUUAGUAA